rnacentral:rRNA from 1 species
UACGUAGGGUGCAAGCGUUAAUCGGAAUUACUGGGCGUAAAGCGUGCGCAGGCGGUUGUGCAAGACAGAUGUGAAAUCCCCGGGCUUAACCUGGGAACUGCAUUUGUGACUGCACGGCUAGAGUGCGGCAGAGGGGGGAUGGAAUUCCGCGUGUAGCAGUGAAAAUGCGUAGAUAUGCGGAGGGACACCGAUGGCGAAGGCAAUCCCCCUGGGGCCUGCACUGAC